GGGAAGGGGUGACUAGUGGUAGAGUGAGGGGAUGACUGGUGACAGAGUGAGGGAGGUGGUGACUAGUGACAGAGUGAGGGAGGUGGUGACUGUCACUAGUCACCACCUCCAUCACUCUCUCCCUAGUCACCCCUCCCUCUGUCACUAGUAACCCCCUCCCUCACUCUGUCACUAGAGUGAGGGAAGGAAGGGGUGACUAGUGACAGAGUGAGGGAGGGGGUGACUGUCACUAGUCACACCCUCCCUCACUCUGUCACUGGUCACACCCUCCCUCUC